rnacentral:lncRNA from 1 species
UAUAUAUAUGUAUAUUUUGUUUUUUAAUUUUGAGAUGGGUAAAAAUUACCAUUAAUCCUAUAUUAUACUUCGUUGUCCACAAAGAGUAUAACACAUAGGGUUCGACGUUAAUUUUAAUAAAAUGGCCGGUGCAAGUGUUUUUAAUGGAUAAAGAAUCCACCAUGUAUAAAUGAGUGGUUGAGGUUGAAUUAUGAUUUUUUGUUUCUUUUUUUAGAGCUAGGUUGAAUUAUGAUUGAGUAUGGAUCAUAGAGUAAUUUUUUUGAUAAAUAAAUGGUGUUUGUAAAGUUGAAUUAUAAGGAUAGAGUAUGUGAUUAUGUUUUUUUUUUUUAAUAAUAUAGUAUUCGUGGACACCAACUGAAUAAGACAAUUGCGCCAUGCUCUUUGUUUACGGGAGAAGUACAUUAUGUGAAAAAUCAACUCAUUAGUUACAUGCUAAUAACAUAUUGAAAUUUGUAUGAGAUA